CUGUGUUAGGCUAGGCACACCGGAUGCGGGGUCUUUUCCUGCCAAAGAGAUAACUAAACUAUAAUUAUGGAAACAGGAACUUCUGGUUGACUGGCUAGCCAGCCAGCACCCCAGCAGGCUUGCUGCAAGAGCCUCUUGUUUGCCCCUCUGGUGGUUUAGGGAAGGGCCCAGUCAUUGCAAAUGGCCCUGGUGAGACAGAGAAGGUGCAGCAGCUAGAGCAGCAGGUAAAGAGUCUGACCAAAGAGCUGCAAGGCCUUCGAGGUGUCCUUCAGGGAAUGAAUGGGCGCCUGGCAGAAGAUGUACAGAGGGCUGUGGAGGCGGCCUUUAAUGGGAGGCAGCAGCCAGCAGAUGCAGCUGCCCGCCCAGGUGUGCACGAAACCCUCAAUGAGAU
rnacentral:lncRNA from 1 species